rnacentral:rRNA from 1 species
CACUUCUAGCAUUAAUAGUAUUAGARGCACUGCCUGCCCAGUGACAUUAGUUAAACGGCCGCGGUAUCCUGACCGUGCAAAGGUAGCAUAAUCAUUUGUUCCUUAAUUAGGGACUUGCAUGAAUGGCUUGACGAGGGUUUAACUGUCUCUUACUUUCAAUCAGUGAAAUUGACCUUCCCGUGAAGAGGCGGGAAUAAAUUAAUAAGACGAGAAGACCCUAUGGAGCUUAAAUUAAAUUAUUCAAUUUAUAUAAAUUUUUACUACGGGACCAAUUCCACAAAAUCUGAAUAAUAAAUUUUGGUUGGGGUGACCUCGGAGUACAAAACAACCUCCGAGAUAUACAGCUAAGACUUACCCGUCAAAGCAUCUCUUAUUAUUGAUCCAAUUAUAUUGAUCAACGGAUCAAGUUACCCUAGGGAUAACAGCGCAAUCCUAUUUAAGAGUUCGUAUCGACAAUAGGGUUUACGACCUCGAUGUUGGAUCAGGACACCCAAAUGGUGCAGCAGCUAUUAA